UACGAACCGUGCGAACGUUGUUCGGAAUCACUGGGCUUAAAGGGCGCGUAGGCGGGCUGUCAAGUCUGGGGUGAAAUGCCGCGGCUCAACCGUGGAACUGCCUCAGAUACUGACGGCCUCGAGGGAGGUAGGGGCGUGCGGAACUGUAGGUGGAGCGGUGAAAUGCGUUGAUAUCUACAGGAACGCCGGUGGCGAAAGCGGCGCGCUGGACCUCUUCUGACGCUGAGGCGCGAAAGCUAGGGGAGCAAACGGG
rnacentral:rRNA from 1 species